UCCGCCCGCCCCCUUUCCCGCGGCGGCCAAUCGGGUCGCGCCCCCGCCUCCCUGCCCAUCCGGGUACUGCGGCGGGGCCGCGCGCCGGGCUUUGUCCUCCUCGGUCGGCUCGUGCCGCCCACCGCCCCUUAAAGGCGCAGGGGCGCGCGGGGCAUUGUGGGACCGUGGGGGUCCGGCGGGGCGGUGGCGCCGCCCCUCAGGGAGCUCUGGUCGGCGGGUCCGGGGAGCCGGGCCUGGAUCCUGCCGGAGCGGACCCUCAGCACUGGGCUCGCCUCGGCGGGCCGGGCCCCUCAGCUCUGCCGGGAGGCGAAGCGGCGGCUCCCGCGGCCGGGCCCUGGGGCGGGCGAGGGGCCGCGGCCGGUGUCGCCGUGCCCGCCGGUUUGUGCAGCCGGGGGUGUCCGGCGGGCAGGGCCCGUCCAGGGGGCGCGGCGGGGGGGGUUGGGGGCGGCUCCGGUGCUCCGAGUGGCGGCUCUGGGCACCCGCCGGCCCGGGGUGCACAGCGAACAGCGGGACGGCAGAGUCGGGACCCCGGGGCUGCUGUGCGGGCAGGAAAGAAACAGUUGAGAGCUGUGGGUUUGGUGUUUCGUGUGCUUCGUUUGGUGAUUUUUAUUUUAUUUUUUAAUAAGAAAUUGGAAUAUUGUGUCACACCUGGAAUAUUGUGUCCAGCUGUGGCCCCUCAGUUCCAGCAGGACAGGGAACUGCUGGAGAGAGUCCAGCGCAGCCACCAAGAUGCUGGAGGGAGUGGAGCAUCUCCCGUGUGAGGAAAGGCUGAGGGAGCUGGGGCUCUGGAGCUGGACAAGAGGAGACUGAGGGGGGACUCAUUCCUGGGGAUCAAGAUGGAAAGGGGGAGUGUCAGGAGGAUGGAGCCAGGCUCUUCUGGUGACAACCAGUGACAGGACAAGUGGCAAUGGGUGCAAACUGGAACACAGGAGGUUCCACUUAUAAUAUGAGAAGAAACUUGUUCCUGGUGAGGGCACCAUAGCCUGGCCCAGGCUGCCCAGGGAGGUUGUGGAGUCUCCUUCUGUGCAGACAUUCCAACCCGCCUGGACACCUUCCUGUGUAACCUCAUCUGGGUGUUCCUGCUCCAUGGGGGGAUUGCACUGGAUGGGCUUUCCAGGGCCCUUCAACCCCUCACAUUCUGUAUGUGGUGUGUUUGUCUCAUCAGAGUUUCCGGGGGGUUGAAGCAGCCCUGGCCAGAAGCACAGCAAAAGUACAAGCCCAGCGUUGUUCCUUCUAACCCAGUUUUCAAUGAUCAGGAAAACAGAAUUCACUUAAAAUUUAGUGUAUUAAGUAUUUUCUAGUGAUCCUGGGUGGGUGCUGCUUCAUGGCACUGAGGAGUAGGUCUGCUCUGCACAGCCCUGCGGUGGCUGACUCGGGGUGAAAAGAAGCAGCCUUGCCAAAAUUCAGCUCCCCAAACUGCCCACAAAGUUGAGUAAUGCCUUUCUACCACCUAGACUGUAAACGUGUCCUUCCGUUAUGAAUUCCCACUGAAAAAGCAUCGUGGCAUAAAAUGUAAAUGUAGAAGUUACUACUUUAUCCCAAAGGCUUCAUCUGGUGCUGAAGAGAGCCCCUGACGAGGGCAGGUGUCCCCUCUGCCCGGCCUGCCGUUGGUGACAGCGCUCGGGGUGUACCUGCGGCAGCUGAAGCUCUAACCAGGCCCUGAAGUUCAAAACCUCUGCACCUCCAGCCCACGAGGUCUCAGGCCCCCCGGCUUGGUGUUUGUCCGUCCAACUCCAGCUGAGCUGUGCUCAUAAGCACACGGGAAACACGGGGAAAAUGCGUGAAGAAUGUGGUAAAGUGUGAUGCUGCUUUGGCAAAGUUCCCUGACUUGCAGGGCUGUAUGUACACAUGAUGGGGUGGGUAAGGGCCCAGCUAAAUAGAGGAUGACAGUUUAUUGGAGGGGGAGUUGGGGUGGAUAAAGGAUCACAAGGAAUUGGUUUUAGAGAAUGACUUGUUUCUAUUAAUUUAUUAUGCAAUGUACGAGGUUGGGAGAGGCUGUGGGUACAGGGAAGGGUCAGAUACAGGAUGAUCAGAAGGAGUUGUCUUCAGAAGAAACAAAACUGUGCAGUGUACAAACUUGUAUACUGAAGGAACUUAUAAGCAGAAAGUUCCUUGGUUGGAAAUGGAAACAGGAGCAAGAAGUCUGGGUGCCGUUACAGAGUGUCAGCACGGCCACUGAUGUGCUGUGGCUGUUAAAAAGCGAGCUAAAGCAGUUUUGGGUACAGUAUUUCCGUGCAGCCCUGCUGUUGUGUGUGCAGCCCUGUUCUUGCUGCCAGGCCCACACCUGAUGGGAACUAGCUGGGAUGGUUCGGAGCAGCAAACCUUCCAGGAGCAGCGGAGCUGGAAGUUUGCCAAAUGUCGCAGCAUUUAGGUACGGUCGGAGAACAAGAAAAUCCCUCCCUAGGUGAGCUUUGUCUGUUUGUGGUUACAUCCAGGGUUUACACAGCUGAACGCCAAACAGCUCCCCUGUAUAAUUCAGAGUAAUUAAUCACUGUCCUUCCAGGUAUCCACGCAGCUCCUCUUGCUGCAGCCACCACAGCCCUCGUGGUUGUCAGCUCUGCCGUGUCCUGCUGUCUGUCCACUGGUGUCCUUCCUGCUGCUGUAGCAGCUGCACCUGCUCCUCCAUGCCCGGGGUGGCUUUGGCUGUGCUGGGCACUGUUUGCUCUCUGUGACUUGAUCCGGGGCUGCAGAACGGGAGCAGAGCGGGAGGUGGUACCGACCUUUGGGCUGAUCUGGAGAGCAGCCUCACCUGCUUCCUAAUGCUGCCCAUUGCUUUGAAAUAGCUGAGGCUCAGCAUAGGGACAAAUAAGUGAAUCCCAAGACCUGAGGAGCUCAUUCUCUUCCAUUUAUCCAUAUCUUAAUGAACGCAGGGACAGGCUCCAUAUCCCUGUCUCUCAGACCAGCAGGGGCAUUCCAUUCUUGCAUGAUUCUCACUUCUGAAGUCUUCAUUUCUGAGCAGGUUACUAGAAGAUGAGUUAUUUCCUCGGGAAGGGUGAGCAGAUGUGCGUGGCUCAGCUGUGAGCAGAUGUUCUCUCAUGUAAAGGAGUCAUUCGCUCACAUGACAGUUGCACAUCCCCAUGAGCUCUGGAGCUUUUAGUAGGGUAGUUGAUGGGUCUUCAGUGCCUUUUGUGCCCCACUGAGCGUGUCCUUGUGUACACACCUUGGUCAAUGCCAACUGUCAGGUCCCAGGACAUGGUGACUGCUCAAGGCCACCUCCCCCCGGUGCAGGGAGCAGGAGGAGCAGGACUCUUGGUCAAUAGAUGUGUCUUCAGGCAAGGACGUGCCCAGGCCCAGAGAAGCCUCUGGACCAGCUUGUAAUGAGCACAGCCGGAUCUGACCAGGUUAUAAAAUGGGUCCCUGUCUGAAGAGCCCUGUGGAGUUGGUCUGGGAGCAGUGGGACUGAGAUCAGGGACAGCAUCUAAGGAGACUUCCUGGGAUUGAGAGCCCUCACCUGCUCCUUGGUGAGUGAUGUUCUUCUGGAUACAUCCCUGAGUGAGCCCUUGCCCACCCCAUGCAAGUGACUCUUUCUUCUGGAUACUCCUGAGUGAAAGAGGCCUCUUGAGUGAGUGUGUGCAGGCUGUGGAGCUUUGAUCUUAUGUGGUCAUUUAGUAAUAAUAUCCCCAACUGGUACAUCAAACCUGCAGUUUAUUAAAUGUUGCCGCAGUGCUGAUCAACUUAGAUUAGCCCCCCACUUGCAUUGGUUUCUGUUGUUUGGUUAUGGUCUGUUGUUUGGUUUCAGUUAUGAAUUAAACUUGGUUUAAGCUUAUUAUUUUCUUGGAGUCAUUUUAUGGUGCCUCCAUGACAGCUCAUCAGCACUGAAAAUCAUACCUCGGGUGUACACAGAGCAUGUCUACCCGCCAGCGUGUCCCUGCUGCCCGAGGGGGGCGGGUGACUCUGGGUUCAAAAAUGUCACCUGCCUCCUCUGUUGAGUUUAUCUCAGAUGCUGAGCCAGAGCUCCAGCCUGAUCUCCCCAGCAGCACGCAGGCUGUUGCCUGAACGUUUUCAGGAAGGUGCUUCUACCCAGCUGCUGCUCUGAGACUGACUUUGGUUCUGGUUUUCCUGUUUUGUUUGGUAGUGGCGCUGCAAGUCCCCUGGCGUGCUGGUGACCGCUGCUCUCAGCCUGUAAAGCCUCAUUUCCGACUGAAAGCUGGUUCCCAUCUCAGGCAAGUUUCCAGCAGACGUUGCCCUCUGCAGACCUGCGCAGCCCAGCCCCGCCUGCAGCCUCAACUCACCCUCUGCGGACCUCAGAGCACCUUCUGCUUCCUCCGCGCUGCAAUGACACCGUGUCUGCAACACACACCUGCGAGCAGAGGAGGAGCCACGGUGCCCUGCUGAGUCAAACACAGCUGGGUGCGCGUGUCUGUGCUCAGCCCCUCGGCUCAAGCAGUGAAGUCCAUUUUGGGUCCGUUUCCUUUCUGAGAGCAAUUGCAGCUCUCGUCAGGCCAUCAAGCCAAAUGUCCCCACAUUUUCAAGGACAACAUCACCUUGUACACACCUGUAUGAUAUGCCUGAAGUGGCGCAUGGCGUAUGUGCAGGGUUCAGGGAACAGCAAUCCCCUCAAGGCAGCUGCACACCCUUGUGUUGGUGAUGGUGUCACAGCUCUGAGAGCCUGUGAUGUGUUUUUGUGAUCUCUGGGAGCAUUGCAAAGAGCUGCCAUGAGGCAGUUGUGCUUCUCCCGGUCCCCACAGCGCCAGCUCCGCUUCCACAGCCAGAGUGAAAAGACACCAUUUCCCAUGUGUGCUCCGCAGGGUUUGCUUAGCAGGUGUUUUAGCUCCUCACACGCUCCAAACAGCUUUGAAACAGCAUUUUAUUCGCAUAUGGAAUCACACUGACAGCUCUCCUGUAAUUUUGCUGCACUCUGCAGAGUGACCUUCCGCAGUCUUUUCAUGUCCCUGAAGCCAAGGCAAGAGCAGAACUUGCUGUUGUUCUUGUUCCAUGUGUGAGUUACCUACUGAAAUACUCUACUUAAAAAAAUUUUGGUUAGUAAAAUGAUUUUUAAUAAUCAA